UACGUAGGGUGCAGGCGUAAUCGGAAUUACUGGGGCGUAAAGCGUGCGCAGGCGGUUUGCUAAGACAGGUGUGAAAUCCCCCGGGCUUACCUGGGAACUGCGCUUGUAACUGGCAAGCUAGAGUGUGGCAGAGGGGGGGUGGAAUUCCUGGUGUAGCGGUGAAAUGCGCAGAUAUCAGGAAGAACACCAAUGGCGAAAGCAGCUCUCUGGGACGGUACUGGAC
rnacentral:rRNA from 1 species